UUUAACAAGAGCUGUCAGUAGGACAGCAUGCUCGACUAUUCUAAGUGCUUGAUAGUAAAAGAGCCUUGAUAAUGUUAAAUUUUUUAAGAUCACAAAAGGUCUAAUUUUUUUUUAAUAAAUUCAUGUUAUAGGCCUUAGAGAGAGUCUAAUUAUACAGUAUUGGCUUGACUAUUCGGAAGGUAAUGUCACAAGGUUGUUUUAUUGAGUAUAAUAAUACUAAUUACCUAUGAAUACAUAAAUUUGACAGAAAAGGUACAAAGGCUUCUAAUUAAGAUGUUUUAUCAAGUAAAUCACUGCUUUAUUAUUAUG